rnacentral:tRNA from 1 species
GGAGAGGUGCCAGAGAGGCCGAAUGGGACUCACUGCUAAUGAGUUGACCUGGUAAUGCGGGUCCGAGGGUUCAAAUCCCUCCCUCUCCG